UACGAAGGGGGCUAGCGUUGUUCGGAAUUACUGGGCGUAAAGCGUAUGCAGGCGGAUCGUUAAGUCGGGGGUGAAAUCCCGAGGCUCAACCUCGGAACUGCCUUCGAUACUGGCGAUCUUGAGUCCGGGAGAGGUGAGUGGAACUCCGAGUGUAGAGGUGAAAUUCGUAGAUAUUCGCAAGAACACCAGUGGCGAAGGCGGCUCACUGGCCCGGUACUGACGCUGAGGUGCGAAAGCGUGGGGAGCAAACAGG
rnacentral:rRNA from 1 species